GAUGAAGAACGUAGCGAAGUGCGAUAAGUAAUGUGAAUUGCAGAAUUCAGUGAAUCAUCGAAUCUUUGAACGCACAUUGCGCCCGCCAGUAUUCUGGCGGGCAUGCCUGUUCGAGCGUCAUUUCAACCAUCAAGCCCCAGGCUUGUGUUGGAGCCCUGCGGCUGCCGCAGCCUCCCAAAACCAGUGGCGGGCUCGCUAUCACACCGAGUGCAGUAGUUUACUCUUCGCUCAGGGCGUGUGGCGGGUGCUAGCCGUAAAACCCCCAACUUCUCAAGGUUGACCUCGGAUCAGGUAGGAAUACCCGCUGAACUUAAGCAUAUCAAUAAGCGGAGGA
rnacentral:misc_RNA from 1 species